UAAGCGACUAAGCGUACACGGUGGAUGCCCUGGCAGUCAGAGGCGAUGAAGGACGUGCUAAUCUGCGAUAAGCGUCGGUAAGGUGAUAUGAACCGUUAUAACCGGCGAUUUCCGAAUGGGGAAACCCAGUGUGUUUCGACACACUAUCAUUAACUGAAUCCAUAGGUUAAUGAGGCGAACCGGGGGAACUGAAACAUCUAAGUACCCCGAGGAAAAGAAAUCAACCGAGAUUCCCCCAGUAGCGGCGAGCGAACGGGGAGCAGCCCAGAGCCUGAAUCAGUGUGUGUGUUAGUGGAAGCGUCUGGAAAGGCGCGCGAUACAGGGUGACAGCCCCGUACACAAAAAUGCACAUACUGUGAGCUCGAUGAGUAGGGCGGGACACGUGGUAUCCUGUCUGAAUAUGGGGGGACCAUCCUCCAAGGCUAAAUACUCCUGACUGACCGAUAGUGAACCAGUACCGUGAGGGAAAGGCGAAAAGAACCCCGGCGAGGGGAGUGAAAAAGAACCUGAAACCGUGUACGUACAAGCAGUGGGAGCACAGAGCAAUCUGUGUGACUGCGUACCUUUUGUAUAAUGGGUCAGCGACUUAUAUUCUGUAGCAAGGUUAACCGAAUAGGGGAGCCGAAGGGAAACCGAGUCUUAACCGGGCGUUAAGUUGCAGGGUAUAGACCCGAAACCCGGUGAUCUAGCCAUGGGCAGGUUGAAGGUUGGGUAACACUAACUGGAGGACCGAACCGACUAAUGUUGAAAAAUUAGCGGAUGACUUGUGGCUGGGGGUGAAAGGCCAAUCAAACCGGGAGAUAGCUGGUUCUCCCCGAAAGCUAUUUAGGUAGCGCCUCGUGAAUUCAUCUCCGGGGGUAGAGCACUGUUUCGGCAAGGGGGUCAUCCCGACUUACCAACCCGAUGCAAACUGCGAAUACCGGAGAAUGUUAUCACGGGAGACACACGGCGGGUGCUAACGUCCGUCGUGAAGAGGGAAACAACCCAGACCGCCAGCUAAGGUCCCAAAGUCAUGGUUAAGUGGGAAACGAUGUGGGAAGGCCCAGACAGCCAGGAUGUUGGCUUAGAAGCAGCCAUCAUUUAAAGAAAGCGUAAUAGCUCACUGGUCGAGUCGGCCUGCGCGGAAGAUGUAACGGGGCUAAACCAUGCACCGAAGCUGCGGCAGCGACACUGUGUGUUGUUGGGUAGGGGAGCGUUCUGUAAGCCUGUGAAGGUGUACUGUGAGGUAUGCUGGAGGUAUCAGAAGUGCGAAUGCUGACAUAAGUAACGAUAAAGCGGGUGAAAAGCCCGCUCGCCGGAAGACCAAGGGUUCCUGUCCAACGUUAAUCGGGGCAGGGUGAGUCGACCCCUAAGGCGAGGCCGAAAGGCGUAGUCGAUGGGAAACAGGUUAAUAUUCCUGUACUUGGUGUUACUGCGAAGGGGGGACGGAGAAGGCUAUGUUGGCCGGGCGACGGUUGUCCCGGUUUAAGCGUGUAGGCUGGUUUUCCAGGCAAAUCCGGAAAAUCAAGGCUGAGGCGUGAUGACGAGGCACUACGGUGCUGAAGCAACAAAUGCCCUGCUUCCAGGAAAAGCCUCUAAGCAUCAGGUAACAUCAAAUCGUACCCCAAACCGACACAGGUGGUCAGGUAGAGAAUACCAAGGCGCUUGAGAGAACUCGGGUGAAGGAACUAGGCAAAAUGGUGCCGUAACUUCGGGAGAAGGCACGCUGAUAUGUAGGUGAAGUCCCUUGCGGAUGGAGCUGAAAUCAGUCGAAGAUACCAGCUGGCUGCAACUGUUUAUUAAAAACACAGCACUGUGCAAACACGAAAGUGGACGUAUACGGUGUGACGCCUGCCCGGUGCCGGAAGGUUAAUUGAUGGGGUCAGCGCAAGCGAAGCUCUUGAUCGAAGCCCCGGUAAACGGCGGCCGUAACUAUAACGGUCCUAAGGUAGCGAAAUUCCUUGUCGGGUAAGUUCCGACCUGCACGAAUGGCGUAAUGAUGGCCAGGCUGUCUCCACCCGAGACUCAGUGAAAUUGAACUCGCUGUGAAGAUGCAGUGUACCCGCGGCAAGACGGAAAGACCCCGUGAACCUUUACUAUAGCUUGACACUGAACAUUGAGCCUUGAUGUGUAGGAUAGGUGGGAGGCUUUGAAGUGUGGACGCCAGUCUGCAUGGAGCCGACCUUGAAAUACCACCCUUUAAUGUUUGAUGUUCUAACGUGGACCCGUGAUCCGGGUUGCGGACAGUGUCUGGUGGGUAGUUUGACUGGGGCGGUCUCCUCCUAAAGAGUAACGGAGGAGCACGAAGGUUGGCUAAUCCUGGUCGGACAUCAGGAGGUUAGUGCAAUGGCAUAAGCCAGCUUGACUGCGAGCGUGACGGCGCGAGCAGGUGCGAAAGCAGGUCAUAGUGAUCCGGUGGUUCUGAAUGGAAGGGCCAUCGCUCAACGGAUAAAAGGUACUCCGGGGAUAACAGGCUGAUACCGCCCAAGAGUUCAUAUCGACGGCGGUGUUUGGCACCUCGAUGUCGGCUCAUCACAUCCUGGGGCUGAAGUAGGUCCCAAGGGUAUGGCUGUUCGCCAUUUAAAGUGGUACGCGAGCUGGGUUUAGAACGUCGUGAGACAGUUCGGUCCCUAUCUGCUGUGGGCGCUGGAGAACUGAGGGGGGCUGCUCCUAGUACGAGAGGACCGGAGUGGACGCAUCACUGGUGUUCGGGUUGUCAUGCCAAUGGCACUGCCCGGUAGCUAAAUGCGGAAGAGAUAAGUGCUGAAAGCAUCUAAGCACGAAACUUGCCCCGAGAUGAGUUCUCCCUGACCCUUUAAGGGUCCUGAAGGAACGUUGAAGACGACGACGUUGAUAGGCCGGGUGUGUAAGCGCAGCGAUGCGUUGAGCUAACCGGUACUAAUGAACCGUGAGGCUUAACCU
rnacentral:rRNA from 1 species